GUAGAUAAAUUAACUAGCUUUAACUUUUCUCCUCAAUUUUUACUAAUAUUUCUGGGUUUCUUACUGGUUGUAUUUUCUUGUGAAAGGUACUCUUGAAGGGAACAAGUUUCAUGGGAGUUCUGAUAUCUUUAAGAAUAGUCAUAUUCCAGGCUAGAUUGCGGGAUAGGAAGGUUUUUUUUUGUUUGGGGUUUUCAUGGUUUUGGUGCUUUUUAAAAGUCUGCCCUAAUUUUUCCAUUUAAGGUUCUUAGCCUGUGAAGAGAAAGCCCUAAGCAACUUGUGUAACUCUGAAGCUGACAUUUUUGGGAGGGGAAAGGGGUUGAACCAGAUGACCUGCAGAAGUACCUUUUAAUGUGAAUUAUUUCAUGAUUGUAUUUUUAUUAAAGGUCAGGGGGAGCAGAGAGGUACGCAGGGAAUCAAAACCAAACAAAACCGCGCUCAUACUGUAGCGUACAGUUAAAUAGCUCACCUGUGAAAUGCAGCUACAGAAUGCUUAUAGCUAAUGUGGUAGUCCAGUGAAAACUGAUUUUGAUCCUUGAUGUGAAAUCUCAUAUUUACAAUAGUAAGAUUAGUUUGUUCCCUGUGCUUAUACUCAUUUUUUUGCUGUAAUUUAUCGUGCACUUAUUGUAUUGUGUAAUUAAAGUUUGUGCAGCCAGCGACUUUGCUGGAAUUUCCCUGCAGUUUGUGAAGGAAAGCACACCUCCCUAAAGAAAGUAAUUUGUGUCUCAUGUUUGGGUCAAAAAACCCUGAAAAAAAGCAGUACCUCUUGCUUAAAUAAGGAGUUUAACUGUAUGUAAGAACUAGAGCAGUGUCACAUCUUAACUUCUCCAUGUUUGUUCUGCUGGUGGACGAAGUGUGGCUCUCAGCGCGCAAGUGCUGCAGCUGGUACAGGGUGUGCGUGUCUGUCCUGCUUCAGCAGCCGUCCUGGCUUAAGCACUUCCAGUGGUAACCUUUGCUAACCUGGGUUACUUUGGCUGAUGAAGAUCAGGGAGCCCUCAGGCCUGUGUGAGUUUAGCAUCCCCUGUGAAGGAGCAGUAAACUGCUUGGGAGGGUUACCCACGUGCUCUGGCUUUCACAGCUCUCUGCUUUUUGACACAUACAGGCUGCAGUGUGCAAUCAACAGUGACCAUCAGGGGAAAUGAAACUGUACCUGGGUUACUUUCUGACAAAGUUUUUACUUUUUUUUUUUUCCCACUUCUCAGUGGUAGUUCAAGCUGCUUUUAGCGUUUAAACUUGUGCCUGUACAUUACUAGGAUAAAGUAACCUGCUGCAAAACAGAAUUGUGUCAGGAGAAUGUUAUGGAUCAAACUGUGAAGGCUUCAGGUGGAGAGGCGGCUAUGGCUGACAGUAGACAUUGACCUGGUUUAAGUGGUCUCCUUACCAGGAUCUGGCAUGUAGCCAGCGCUCCUGAAAUUCUGGUGAUUAAAGAUCAUGGCAACCAUAGAGGAACUGGCCCAUCAAAUUUUUGAACAGCAAAUGGGAGAGGUUGCACAUUCCCAGGAAGGUGGUGCACAAACACUAAUGGAUGGGACAUCACAACGAAUACAGAUUGUCCCUGCAGAUUCAGGCCUCUCUGUAUCACAGCGUAUACAGAUUGUCACAGAUCAGCAGACGGGCCAGAAGAUUCAGAUUGUUACAGCACUUGAUCAGAGCUCAGCAGGCAAGCAGUUCAUCUUAACAAAUCAUGAUGGCUCUACCCCAAGCAAGGUGAUCCUUGCCAGACAAGAUUCCACUCCAGGAAAAGUUAUCCUAGCAACUCCAGAUGCUGCAGGUGUCAACCAACUGUUUUUUGCAUCCCCUGACAUAUCUGCACAACACAUCCAGAUUUUAACAGACAACUCUCCCAAUGAACAGGGCCUAAAUAAAGUGUUUGAUCUAUGUGUUGUAUGUGGAGACAAAGCAUCAGGGCGUCAUUAUGGAGCAGUAACCUGUGAGGGAUGCAAAGGAUUCUUUAAAAGGAGUAUACGGAAGAAUUUAGUUUAUUCCUGCCGAGGAACAAAAGACUGUGUCAUUAACAAACACCACCGGAAUCGCUGUCAGUAUUGCAGGCUGCAGAGAUGCAUCGCCUUUGGGAUGAAACAAGAUUCUGUACAGUGUGAGAGGAAACCUAUUGAAGUGUCAAGAGAAAAAUCUUCAAACUGUGCAGCUUCUACAGAAAAGAUCUACAUUCGGAAAGAUCUUCGUAGUCCAUUAGCUGCAACCCCAACUUUUGUAACAGACAAUGAAACAGCAAGAUCAACAGGUUUGCUGGAAUCAGGAAUGUUUGUUAACAUUCAUCCAUCUGCAAUAAAAAGUGAGCCUACUGUGCUGAUGACUCCAGAUAAGGUAGAAGCAUGUCAAGGAGAUUUAAGUACACUGGCAAACGUGGUGACUUCAUUAGCAAAUCUCAGUAAAUGCAAAGACAUUUCACAAAGCAAUACGGAGCUAUCCGUGAUUGAGAGUUUGAGUAAUGGAGAUUCAUCAUUAUCUGAACUCAAGCAAGAAGAACAAGCUAGUAAUGACGUUACAAGGGCAUUUGAUACUCUUGCAAAAGCAUUAAAUCCAGGAGAGAGUGCAGCAUGCCAGAACUCUGAAAGUAUUGAUGCCAAUGCACAGCUGCUUGGUGGAGAAACAAGCAUGAACAUCGUUGAAAUAGAGGGGCCACUACUCAGUGAUGCUCAUGUAGCAUUCAGGCUAACCAUGCCUUCUCCUAUGCCUGAUUAUCUUAAUGUUCACUAUAUCUGCGAGUCUGCCUCCAGGUUGCUUUUCUUGUCCAUGCACUGGGCACGUUCCAUUCCAUCUUUCCAAGUUUUGGGACAGGAUAACAGCAUAUCAUUAGUAAAAGCCUGCUGGAAUGAACUUUUUACGCUUGGUCUAGCACAAUGCUCACAAGUUAUGAAUGUGGCAACGAUCUUAGCUGCUUUUGUUAAUCACCUUCAAGGCAGUUUACAACAAGAUAAGCUGCCAACAGACAGAGGAAGAUUAGUAAUGGAGCAUGUCUUCAAAUUGCAAGAGUUUUGUAAUAGCAUGGUUAAACUCUGUCUAGAUGGAUAUGAAUAUGCAUAUUUGAAAGCAAUUGUCCUCUUCAGUCCUGAUCACCCAGGUCUAGAAAAUGUAGUACAGAUUGAGAAAUUUCAAGAAAAAGCUUACAUGGAGUUCCAAGACUAUGUAACAAAGGCGUAUCCGGACGAUACUUACAGACUAUCCAGACUUCUUCUCCGAUUGCCUGCUCUUAGGCUGAUGAGUGCUGCCAUCACUGAAGAGCUGUUCUUCGCAGGACUAAUUGGAAAUGUUCAGAUUGACAGCAUCAUCCCAUACAUACUGCGAAUGGAGACAGCAGACUACAACUCUCAGAUCAUAGGUCAUGGUGUGUAAAAGUAGCAGUCCAGAUUCUGUACCAUGGCAAUCAUGGUGAUGUAAAUGCAUACCCUGUCUCCAAGAGAUGGUCAUAAACCUUCCAAUGCACCUUUCCAAAGAAGCCUCAUAUUCCUCCUUUCCAGUACACUUGGGAAACAUAGUGGAGUGUAUUAGGAUAUAGGAUCACUUCUGUUCUUCAUCUGUCUUCAAGGACUUGUAAAUUAACUUGAUAUCUGAAGAAAGUCAAGUAUUUGAUCUACCUGUUUUUGUAGGUAGAUGGACUUGGAAUAUUUAUGAAGUUCCGAUUCAUGAGGAAACUGAAGAAGCUUUGACUGAACUAAGAACUGUCUGCUGGACAUCCAGAGAACAAAUUGCCAUGCUCUGAACCUCCUGGCAAUACCAGCUCCCCAGACAAGAAAGAUGGUUGGCAAGAGACGUGAGCAACCAACCCUGUGGCUUUGGUCCUUUGCAGACCUGCAGUCUAAUCCCUUCUAACAAGCUGUUCAUGAGGUGUUUGAGCUCCUUUAUGAAGACUUCAGUUCUCCGUCAUCCUAGGGAGCAAACUGAACAGCCACACAGUUUGGCUAAUAAAGGCUACCUGAAGAACAGCUCCAAAAGGAAUUUUCCUUUCACUCUGUAACCAGGAGAAUUUUGCUACUGGAAAAUCAAAGAUGAAGGUAAAGUUACUGCUGGAGAAAUAACACAGACACUUCCCACAAAGCGGCAGGCGUUUUCUGAAGGUGCCAGUAAAUUUAUUAUUCUAGAGUUUUUGAGACCUAAACUGUUCUCACAGUUUAUAUACUCGAAUGUUUUUGAAAAUGGUGAAGUGUGUACUUUUUUGUUAACAUUUCAUUUCGUUCCAGGAGAUGAAGUUAUCUUCUAAAUUUUUCAAUCAAUAGAACCCAAGUGACAAAAACUUCUUCCACUGUGUUUUUGGGAAAUAUAUAUGGAU